rnacentral:rRNA from 1 species
UUAAGCGACUAAGCGUACACGGUGGAUGCCCUGGCAGUCAGAGGCGAUGAAGGACGUGCUAAUCUGCGAUAAGCGUCGGUAAGGUGAUAUGAACCGUUAUAACCGGCGAUUUCCGAAUGGGGAAACCCAGUGUGUUUCGACACACUAUCAUUAACUGAAUCCAUAGGUUAAUGAGGCGAACCGGGGGAACUGAAACAUCUAAGUACCCCGAGGAAAAGAAAUCAACCGAGAUUCCCCCAGUAGCGGCGAGCGAACGGGGAGGAGCCCAGAGCCUGAAUCAGUGUGUGUGUUAGUGGAAGCGUCUGGAAAGGCGCGCGAUACAGGGUGACAGCCCCGUACACAAAAAUGCACAUGCUGUGAGCUCGAUGAGUAGGGCGGGACACGUGGUAUCCUGUCUGAAUAUGGGGGGACCAUCCUCCAAGGCUAAAUACUCCUGACUGACCGAUAGUGAACCAGUACCGUGAGGGAAAGGCGAAAAGAACCCCGGCGAGGGGAGUGAAAAAGAACCUGAAACCGUGUACGUACAAGCAGUGGGAGCCUCUUUUAUGGGGUGACUGCGUACCUUUUGUAUAAUGGGUCAGCGACUUAUAUUCUGUAGCAAGGUUAACCGAAUAGGGGAGCCGAAGGGAAACCGAGUCUUAACUGGGCGUUAAGUUGCAGGGUAUAGACCCGAAACCCGGUGAUCUAGCCAUGGGCAGGUUGAAGGUUGGGUAACACUAACUGGAGGACCGAACCGACUAAUGUUGAAAAAUUAGCGGAUGACUUGUGGCUGGGGGUGAAAGGCCAAUCAAACCGGGAGAUAGCUGGUUCUCCCCGAAAGCUAUUUAGGUAGCGCCUCGUGAAUUCAUCUCCGGGGGUAGAGCACUGUUUCGGCAAGGGGGUCAUCCCGACUUACCAACCCGAUGCAAACUGCGAAUACCGGAGAAUGUUAUCACGGGAGACACACGGCGGGUGCUAACGUCCGUCGUGAAGAGGGAAACAACCCAGACCGCCAGCUAAGGUCCCAAAGUCAUGGUUAAGUGGGAAACGAUGUGGGAAGGCCCAGACAGCCAGGAUGUUGGCUUAGAAGCAGCCAUCAUUUAAAGAAAGCGUAAUAGCUCACUGGUCGAGUCGGCCUGCGCGGAAGAUGUAACGGGGCUAAACCAUGCACCGAAGCUGCGGCAGCGACGCUUAUGCGUUGUUGGGUAGGGGAGCGUUCUGUAAGCCUGCGAAGGUGUACUGUGAGGUAUGCUGGAGGUAUCAGAAGUGCGAAUGCUGACAUAAGUAACGAUAAAGCGGGUGAAAAGCCCGCUCGCCGGAAGACCAAGGGUUCCUGUCCAACGUUAAUCGGGGCAGGGUGAGUCGACCCCUAAGGCGAGGCCGAAAGGCGUAGUCGAUGGGAAACAGGUUAAUAUUCCUGUACUUGGUGUUACUGCGAAGGGGGGACGGAGAAGGCUAUGUUGGCCGGGCGACGGUUGUCCCGGUUUAAGCGUGUAGGCUGGUUUUCCAGGCAAAUCCGGAAAAUCAAGGCUGAGGCGUGAUGACGAGGCACUACGGUGCUGAAGCAACAAAUGCCCUGCUUCCAGGAAAAGCCUCUAAGCAUCAGGUAACAUCAAAUCGUACCCCAAACCGACACAGGUGGUCAGGUAGAGAAUACCAAGGCGCUUGAGAGAACUCGGGUGAAGGAACUAGGCAAAAUGGUGCCGUAACUUCGGGAGAAGGCACGCUGAUAUGUAGGUGAAGUCCCUCGCGGAUGGAGCUGAAAUCAGUCGAAGAUACCAGCUGGCUGCAACUGUUUAUUAAAAACACAGCACUGUGCAAACACGAAAGUGGACGUAUACGGUGUGACGCCUGCCCGGUGCCGGAAGGUUAAUUGAUGGGGUCAGCGCAAGCGAAGCUCUUGAUCGAAGCCCCGGUAAACGGCGGCCGUAACUAUAACGGUCCUAAGGUAGCGAAAUUCCUUGUCGGGUAAGUUCCGACCUGCACGAAUGGCGUAAUGAUGGCCAGGCUGUCUCCACCCGAGACUCAGUGAAAUUGAACUCGCUGUGAAGAUGCAGUGUACCCGCGGCAAGACGGAAAGACCCCGUGAACCUUUACUAUAGCUUGACACUGAACAUUGAGCCUUGAUGUGUAGGAUAGGUGGGAGGCUUAGAAGUGUGGACGCCAGUCUGCAUGGAGCCGACCUUGAAAUACCACCCUUUAAUGUUUGAUGUUCUAACGUUGACCCGUGAUCCGGGUUGCGGACAGUGUCUGGUGGGUAGUUUGACUGGGGCGGUCUCCUCCUAAAGAGUAACGGAGGAGCACGAAGGUUGGCUAAUCCUGGUCGGACAUCAGGAGGUUAGUGCAAUGGCAUAAGCCAGCUUGACUGCGAGCGUGACGGCGCGAGCAGGUGCGAAAGCAGGUCAUAGUGAUCCGGUGGUUCUGAAUGGAAGGGCCAUCGCUCAACGGAUAAAAGGUACUCCGGGGAUAACAGGCUGAUACCGCCCAAGAGUUCAUAUCGACGGCGGUGUUUGGCACCUCGAUGUCGGCUCAUCACAUCCUGGGGCUGAAGUAGGUCCCAAGGGUAUGGCUGUUCGCCAUUUAAAGUGGUACGCGAGCUGGGUUUAGAACGUCGUGAGACAGUUCGGUCCCUAUCUGCCGUGGGCGCUGGAGAACUGAGGGGGGCUGCUCCUAGUACGAGAGGACCGGAGUGGACGCAUCACUGGUGUUCGGGUUGUCAUGCCAAUGGCACUGCCCGGUAGCUAAAUGCGGAAGAGAUAAGUGCUGAAAGCAUCUAAGCACGAAACUUGCCCCGAGAUGAGUUCUCCCUGACCCUUUAAGGGUCCUGAAGGAACGUUGAAGACGACGACGUUGAUAGGCCGGGUGUGUAAGCGCAGCGAUGCGUUGAGCUAACCGGUACUAAUGAACCGUGAGGCUUAACCUU